UAGUCACUUAAAAUAUAAAUUUCUUCUAAGUGGGUAGUAAUUUAAUAUUACCCCCAGGUAAUUUUUGUAUGUUUUGCAGAGACGGGGUCUUGCCAUGUUGCCCAGGCUGGUCUUGAACUCCUGGGUUCAAGCAAUCUGCCCGCCUCUGUCAGCGUAACUUUUUAUCCUCACAAAUCAUACCAUUUUAAUAUUGGCAAAUGUCUUUAGGGGGUGAGCAGUCAUGUAUUUGAAAGAGUUUUCUUCACCUUGAAAAUCUUUAAUUUCUAAGCACUGUGAGAUUGUGGGAGCUAUUUUCUGCCUUUUGGAAGUUUUUGGCCUAGCUUUUUAUCUUCCUGGGCAAUACCAGAACUCCAAAAUUCCCUUCAAGGAAAACUGGCUAUGUGUUUAAGCCUUCUCAAGUUUUCAUUUUUGUCAGUCCAGUUUUGUGUGGCAGCUAACACUUUUGCU
rnacentral:lncRNA from 1 species